GCCAAUUUAUAAAUGAAUGCGAUGCACUGGUAUCAAAUAAUGCAUGAACUCUAAUGCCAUCAAGUAAAAUGAUACCUGCAACCAUAUCCUCGGCUGCUGCCGCCUCCUCGGUCUGAGCGGCAUACAUGCGCCCACUCGGGGCCUGUCGAGAUCCCUCGCUCUGUCCGUGGACGGAUGGCCGCCCAGGCUGGUACUAUGCCGAUGGAGUCCCGUGGCUGGCGGCUGGUAGAGCCGGUGCCAAUGCAGAAGACGGUGCCGAUGAUGAACCUCUUGGGCACUCAGUCUGAUGUGGCCCUCCUAGCCACACUGGUAGCACCUGCCCGCCCGCUGUGGACACUGCGGUGGGUAGUGAGGACCACUGCAGAUCACACACUGGGAAGGUCGGCGACGAUCAGAACCUCCAC
rnacentral:lncRNA from 1 species